GACGAACGCUGGCGGCGUGCCUAACACAUGCAAGUCGAGCGAGUGGAGUUCUUCGGAACAAAGCUAGCGGCGGACGGGUGAGUAACACGUGGGCAACCUGCCUCAUAGAGGGGAAUAGCCUCCCGAAAGGGAGAUUAAUACCGCAUAAGAUUGUAGCUUCGCAUGAAGUAGCAAUUAAAGGAGCAAUCCGCUAUGAGAUGGGCCCGCGGCGCAUUAGCUAGUUGGUGAGGUAACGGCUCACCAAGGCGACGAUGCGUAGCCGACCUGAGAGGGUGAUCGGCCACACUGGGACUGAGACACGGCCCAG
rnacentral:rRNA from 1 species